GACGAACGCUGGCGGCGUGCUUAACACAUGCAAGUCGAACGGUAAGGCCCUUCGGGGUACACGAGUGGCGAACGGGUGAGUACACGUGGGUGAUCCUCCCCGCACUUCGGGAUAAGCCUGGGAAACUGGUGCCAAUACCGGAUAGUACUCCGGACUGCAUGGGCUGGGGUGGAAAACUUUUGCGGGGUGGGAUGGGCCCGCGGCCUAUCAGCUUGUUGGGGGGGUGAUGGCCUACCAAGGCGACGACGGGUAGCCGGCCCGAGAGGGUGACCGGCCACACUGGGACUGAGAUACGGCCCAGACUCCUACGGGAGGCAGCAGUGGGGAAUAUUGCACAAUGGGCGCAAGCCUGAUGCAGCGACGCCGCGUGAGGGAUGACGGCCUUCGGGUUGUAAACCUCUUUCAGCAUCGACGAAGCGAAAGUGAUGGUAGGUGCAGAAGAAGGACCGGCCAACUACGUGCCAGCCGCCGCAGUAA
rnacentral:rRNA from 1 species